CCUACGGGGGGCAGCAGUAGGGAAUAUUGCGCAAUGGGGGAAACCCUGACGCAGCAACGCCGCGUGAGUGAGGAAGGUCUUCGGAUUGUAAAACUCUUUUCUUAGGGAAAAAUGUCCUUUCGGUUAAUACCCGAGAGGGGUGAUGGUACCUAAGGAAUAAGCACCGGCUAACUUCGUGCCAGCAGCCGCGGUAAUACGAAGGGUGCAAGCGUUGUUCGGAAUCAUUGGGCGUAAAGCGCGCGCAGGCGGAUUAAUAAGUCAGGUGUGAAAUCUCGGAGCUCAACUCCGAAACUGCGCCUGAAACUAUUAGUCUAGAAUGUCGGAGGGGGCAGGGGAAUUUCACGUGUAGGGGUAAAAUCCGUAGAGAUGUGAAGGAACACCGGAGGCGAAGGCGCCUGCCUGGACGACUAUUGACGCUGAGGCGCGAAAGCGUGGGGAGC
rnacentral:rRNA from 1 species